rnacentral:lncRNA from 1 species
AUGAGAUACCAGAACUGUACUGGAAGAGCGAGGAGACGUCAGGCAGGGGGCCCCGUGCGCUGCCCGGCCCCACGCAGACACCGACACCGGGAGCUCAACCCCCGGCUUUGUUGUGGGGGCCGAUGGCUCCGGGACCCUCCGGAACGGGGGGGCCGGGCCGGAGGGGGCCCAGGCCCUGAGGUCUGUCUGUCUGUCUGUCUGUCCACCCACAGUGGGUGGGGGCGGCGUCCAGAGUUCCGGGGGCAGCUGUGCGUGCCCAGCGGGGCUCGAAUGCCCCGGGCAGGGAUCGAUUGCCCUGGGCAGGGAUUGAUUGCCCUGGGUGGGGAUCGAUUGCCCCGGGCAGGGGAUCGAUUGCCCCAGGCGGGGAUCGAUUGCCCCGGGCGGGGAUCGAUUGCCCCAGGCGGGGAUCGAUUGCCCCAAAUGGGGAUCGAUUGCCCCGGCCGGGGAUCGAUUGCCCCGGGCAGGGAUCGAUUGCCCCGGGCGGGGAUCGAUUGCCCCGGGCGGGGAUCAAUUGCCCCGGGCAGGGAUCAAUUGCCCCGGGCGGGGAUCGAUUGCCCCAGGCGGGGAUCGAUUGCCCCGGCGGGGAUCAAUUGCCCCGAGCAGGGUUCGAUUGCCCCGGGCGGGGAUCGAUUGCCCCGGGCAGGGCUCCCUUGCCCCGGGCAGGGCUCGAUUGCCCCAGGCGGGGCUCGGUUGCCCUGGGCAGGGCUCCCUUGCCCCGGGCAGGG